rnacentral:rRNA from 1 species
UACGGAGGGAGCUAGCGUUGUUCGGAUCUACUGGGCGUAAAGCGCACGUAGGCGGCGCCGUAAGUCAGGGGUGAAAUCCCGGAGCUCAACUCCGGAACUGCCCUUGAAACUGCAGUGCUAGAAUUCUGGAGAGGCGAGUGGAAUUCCGAGUGUAGAGGUGAAAUUCGUAGAUAUUGGGAAGAACACCGGUGGCGAAGGCGGCGACCUGGUCCAUUACUGACGCUGAGGCACGACAGCGUGGGGAGCAAACAGG